UCCAUACUUUGUGUGCACAGUGUAGAACAAUGUAGAACAAUGUACUGUGACAGUUUCUGUUAUUCACAGAUCAUGUACAGCACACGAAGGCUUCCUGGAUUUGGGCUAACAGAUGGUGAAGGCAUGGAGAGGUUAUGGUCGUUUUUGAGAAGAUUUUCAUGAGUGACUAAAGAGAUGACUCCUUUCCAUCGGCUUGACCUUCUGACUGAUGCCUUACUCUAUUAUGGAAGAAGAAAAUCAACAGAUCUAGGCUGAUAUAUUUCUGUAUUUGCUGAUUAAACAGAAUUGAUCAAUUUGGAUUCAAACUGAAACUGGUCACUACUUACAGACGUGCAGCUCAUUCAGAGAUGGGACAAAGCAGAGAAGGUCUGGAGUCUUGCUGAGGAGGAGAUUUCUGCAGUUUUGAAAGAGGCACCAAGUGUGUAUUUCAGAACGUGACAUACAACAGUAGAUGGAAACAGAGAUUGAAGUUGCCCAACCUGCACGUUUGAAAACAAGACCCACAGAUAUGCUGAUGUACUUGAUUCUUUCAUUUUGCAGAAACUGUAUUAAAGUAGUUGACAGCGGCAGCUUCCAUAGUUUCUACAGUACCCUUACACAGUGAACAUUUACUUGUUUUACUAUUGAAAAGUCCUUCCACCAGAGAUCUCUGAACCAGAAGUACCCAACUGGAGAUGAAACACAGCUGGAGAGUGAUCUUCAAGCAAUUGAGAGACACUAUGGAAUAAAACAAAAAUGGUGUGAGAUUUUCCAGUCAACAUUGAGAGACCUUGACCAGGAAGUCAGAGGUCACUUGAUUUUACAAGCACAAAAUGAAGCCAGGGAGAGGGUCACUCUUCUCAACCUGAAAAGAAAAUAUCCUGAUGGACAGGGAAUUACUAUUAGGCUGUCCAAGCAGGUAAACGCCUGCAACAGGAGACUGAAGAAGAAUUUUACAGGGUACAAUGGUCUGCAGUGGCCACCACAAACCACCAAGUUCCCAUCACAUUUAGAAUUUCCAGAUGUGCGUGAUGUCUCCUUGCCCCUGUACUCAUUCAUUGAUGAACCAACAGGAGAUAAAAGUAACGUUCCCAGGGCCCUGAAAAAGCGAGCCGUUGAUGUUUUGCAUUUGAAGACCAGAGCCGCUGAAGAAAAGCUUCUGCUUCAGAGAGAGAUGGACACUCUGACUCAUCACCUCCAUCAGCAACAUGAACAUUUGCAUUCAGCAAUAAAUGACACUAUGGACCCUGGUUCCAAAGCUGUUCUUCUUCACAGUAUUAUCCUGUUGGAAAGGAAACUGUACAAUGCCAUGAUAAUGUUCAAAAAUCAUAUUACAGUUGUUGCUCCUCCUCCAAAUGUGUACCUGCCAGAGUUUACCUCUUUCCCAAUCAGUUAUUUCAGCUGAUAUGCAUAUUUUACUAUGUGACGACAGCAGUCAUGACAAAGAGGAUGAAGCUGACGAGAAUGAUGUCGAUGAUGAUGAUGAUGAUGAAGUUGAUGACUGUGAUUAGUUUUGUAAAACAAUAGCAAGCAUCGUGAUCUCGUCAUAAUGUGUUUAGAAAGCGCAUUCUCCAGUCAUUAAUAUCGAUUUGACUCGCAGUCCAUGGAGUUUGUGUAUUUCUUUAUUGUAUUUAAUUCCAGUGUUAAAAAAAUGAAUUUGAUGUUAAUUGUUAACAAUGGGAUUUGCUGUUGAAAAAAUAAUUUUGUUAAAGUCAAACACGACUCUUAAUAAACCGUAACUGUAGAAAAUAAAUGUAUCAUUUUGAUAGAGGUUUAUUUUUAAUCAAUAAAGAUGUAUGGUGUA